GCAGCCUCGUUAAUAGCUAGGGGAGUGGGUACCUGUUUUUCGUAGAUUUUAGUCUUUGCAUGUCCUCCUGUUUCUCUUAAACUUUGUUCCUGCGGUGGCAUCAACUAGAUGGUGGCGACGGUGGCAUGUUGGACUAAAGUCUCUUCGGUUUCUUCCUACAUCAACGAUGUUUGAUUCGCCCCCACCAAAGGGCAAGUGAGGCGACAAGAUAUGGUUUCUCCAACCCUUUGGAUUUUCUUUUUUGCGAGGGUCCAACCCUUUGGAUUGAUGGUGAAGAAUUGCAAGCAUGUGUUGCUUGGGGUGCUUGUCCAGCUGAUGUUCGUUCAACGGUUACCAGAUCCCGUUAUUCGCAGUGAGUGGCUAUAGCGCCUUCAAAAUCUUGUAUGUUGGGAGUGUAGCAGGUGUCCCUUUCCCUUACUGCUUUUUCAGUAAGUUUCAUGCUCUGGUAGGCGGGUAACAAUCGAAGGAAGAUGACAAAUGUGAUUUUCGGGGUAACUUUAUUUUUUACAAGUCGUUUUGUGAUAAGUUGUCAUUCCUUUGUACCAGCUCUUGUUUUCCUCGAUAAAUAUCAGGUAAAAGAUAUA